rnacentral:rRNA from 1 species
UACGAAGGGUGCAAGCGUUAAUCGGAAUUACUGGGCGUAAAGGGUGCGUAGGCGGUUGUUUAAGUCUGUCGUGAAAUCCCCGGGCUCAACCUGGGAAUGGCGAUGGAUACUGGACAGCUAGAGUGUGUCAGAGGAUGGUGGAAUUCCCGGUGUAGCGGUGAAAUGCGUAGAGAUCCGGAGGAACACCAGUGGCGCAGGCGGCUCUCUGGGUCGGCCCUGACGCUGAGGCGCGAAAGCGUGGAGAGCGAACGGG